UAGAGGUGGCAGGGUAGCCUAGUGGUUAGAGUGUAGAGGCGGCAGGGUAGCCUAGUGGUUAGAGUGUAGAGGCGGCAGGGUAGCCUAGUGGUUAGAGUGGAGGGGCGGCAGGGUAGCCUAGUGGUUAGAGUGUAGAGGCGGCAGGGUAGCCUAGUGGUUAGAGUGGAGGGGUGGCAGGGUAGCCUAGUGGUUAGAGUGUAGAGGCGGCAGGGUAGCCUAGUGGUUAGAGUGGAGGGGCGGCAGGGUAGCCUAGUGGUUAGAGUGUGGAGGCGGCAGGGUAGCCUAGUGGUUAGAGUGUGGAGGCGGCAGGGUAGCCUAGUGGUUAGAGUGUAGAGGCGGCAGAGUAGCCUAGUGGUUAGAGUGUAGAGGCGGCAGGGUAGCCUAGUGUUUAGAGUGUAGAGGCGGCAGGGUAGCCUAGUGGUUAGAGUGUAGAGGCGGCAGGGUAGCCUAGUGGUUAGAGUGUAGAGGCGGCAGGGUAGCCUAGUGGUUAGAGUGUAGAGGUGGCAGGGUAGCCUAGUGGUUAGAGUGUUGGACUAGUAACCGGAAGGUUGCAAGUUCAAACCCCUGAGCUGACAUGGUAAAAAUCUG
ensembl:lncRNA